rnacentral:rRNA from 1 species
CACAGGGGGGGCAAGCGUUGUUCGGAAUUACUGGGCGUAAAGGGUCUGUAGGUGGCCAACUAAGUCAGACGUGAAAUCCCUCAGCUUAACUGGGGAACUGCGUCUGAUACUGGAUGGCUUGAGUGUGGGAGAGGAAUGCGGAAUUCCUGGUGUAGCGGUGAAAUGCGCAGAUAUCAGGAGGAACACCGGUGGCGAAGGCGGGUCUCUGGGCCGAUACUGACGCUGAGGAGCGAAAGCGUGGGGAGCGAACAGG